AUUGAACGCUGGCUGCAGGCCUAACACAUGCAAGUCGAGCGAUCGGCGGACGGGUGAGUAAUGUCUGGGAAACUGCCUGAUGGAGGGGGAUAACUACUGGAAACGGUAGCUAAUACCGCAUACCCUCAGAUGUGCCAAGAUGGGAUUAGCUAGUAGGUGGGGUACCGGCUCACCUAGGCGACGCGCCCUAGCUGGUCUGAGAGGAUGACCAGCCACACUGGAAUGGUGCCAAGGUCCAGACUCCUACGGGAGGCAGCAGUGGGUAAUAUGGCACAAUGGGCGCAAGCCUGAGGCAGCCAGGCCGCUUGUGUGAAGAAGGCCUUCGGGUUGUAAAGCACUUUCAGCGGGGAGGCGUUACUCGCAGAAGAAGCACCGGCUAACUCCGUGCCAGCAGCCGCGGUAAUUC
rnacentral:rRNA from 1 species